GCAAACCUUGAUUUACUUCUACAUCGAUUUAAAACCGGAUCCAUUGGGGGAGACAAGUUGACAGCCUGACGCAUAAUCUCUCGUUUCCUUUGCAACUCUUCAUCAAGCUCUUCUUUCCACUUUCUUUGCCUCUCAGAGAAGCUUGAAUUGACAGCGUCACGUUGAGAACCAAGAGGAUCUUUCCAUUCAUUGUUCCUUGGUGAUUGAAGUUCCUGAAUAGCUUCAUUACCUAAGCCACCAAUAUUUGAUAUUCUCUUGGAGUGAGUAACUGGG
rnacentral:misc_RNA from 1 species